GUGAGUAACACGUGGAUAACCUACCUAUAAGACUGGGAUAACUUCGGGAAACCGGAGCUAAUACCGGAUGAUAUUUUGAACCGCAUGGUUCAAAAGUGAAAGACGGUCUUGCUGUCACUUAUAGAUGGAUCCGCGCUGCAUUAGCUAGUUGGUAAGGUAACGGCUUACCAAGGCAACGAUGCAUAGCCGACCUGAGAGGGUGAUCGGCCACACUGGAACUGAGACACGGUCCAG
rnacentral:rRNA from 1 species